UACAGAGGGUGCGAGCGUUAAUCGGAAUUACUGGGCGUAAAGCGCGCGUAGGCGGCUUUGCAAGUCGGGUGUGAAAUCCCCAGGCUUAACCUGGGAACUGCACUCGAGACUGCAUUGCUAGAGUAUGGGAGAGGGAAGUGGAAUUUCCGGUGUAGCGGUGAAAUGCGUAGAUAUCGGAAGGAACAUCAGUGGCGAAGGCGGCUAUCUGGCCCGUAAUUGACGCUGAGGCGCGAAAGCGUGGGGAGCAAACAGG
rnacentral:rRNA from 1 species